rnacentral:rRNA from 1 species
UAGAGUUUGAUCCUGGCUCAGGAUGAACGCUAGCUACAGGCUUAACACAUGCAAGUCGAGGGGCAACAUGGACUUAGCUUGCUUACACUGAUGGCGACCGGCGCACGGGUGAGUAACACGUAUCCAACCUGCCUUAGACUCGCGGACAACCUUCUGAAAGGAAGAUUAAUACCGGAUGGAAUCCCCAGCCACCAUUUUCACGUGAGAAAAGAACUUCCGUAACAGAUGGGGAUGGGUUCCAUUAGAUAGUAGGCGGGGUAACGGUCCACCUAGUCGACGAUGGAUAGGGGUUGUGAGAGGAAGGUCCACACACAUUGGAACUGAGACACGGUCCUAACUCCUGCGGGAGGCAGCAGUGAGGAAUAUUGGUCAAUGGGCGGGAGCAUGAACCAGCCAAGUAGCGUGAAGGAUGAUUGCCGUAUGGGUGUCAUACUUCUUUUAUAAAGGAAUAAAGUGAGGCAGUGUGUGCCUUGUGGUAUGUAGUUGAUGAAUAAUGAUCGGCUUACUCCGUGCCAGCAGCGGUGGUAAUGAGGAGGAUAGGAGCGUUAUCAGAAUUUAUGUGGGUUGAAGGGACGAGUAGAUGGGUUGUUAAGUCAGUUGAGAAAGUGGGCGGCUCACCGGUAAAAUGGCAAUUGAUACAGUCAGCAUUGAGUGCAGAGGAGGUAGGAGGAAUUGGGGGGGGAGCGGAGAAAUGGAUAUAUAUCAGGAAGAACUCCGAGAGGGAAGCCAGCCGACUAAACUGCCACGGACAGGCAUGCUAGAAAGGGUGGGUAUCAAACAGGAUUAGAUACCCUGGUAGUCCACACGGUGAACGAUGAAUACUCUCUGUGUGCGAUAUACUGCAAGCGGCCAAGCGAAAGCGUUAAGUAUUCCACCUGGGGAGUACGCCGGCAACGGUGAAACUCAAAGGAAUUGACGGGGGCCCGCACAAGCGGAGGAACAUGUGGUUUAAUUCGAUGAUACGCGAGGAACCUUACCCGGGCCUGAAUGGUGCUCGAAUAUAGCGGAAACGCUAUAGUUACCAAUAGCGUGCGUGAAGGUGCUGCAUGGUUGUCGUCAGCUCGUGCCGUGAGGUGUCGGCUUAAGUGCCAUAACGAGCGCAACCCUUGUGUACAGUUGCUAACAGGUCAUGCUGAGGACUCUACGGAGACUGCCAUCGCAAGACGUGAGGAAGGUGGGGAUGACGUCAAAUCAGCACGGCCCUUACGUCCGGGGCCACACACGUGUUACAAUGGGGGGUACAGAGGGCAGCCACCAGGCAAGUGGAUGCCAAUCCCGAAAUCCUCUCUCAGUUCGGAUUGGAGUCUGCAACCCGACUCCGCGAAGCUGGAUUCGCUAGUAAUCGCGCAUCAGCCAUGGCGCGGUGAAUACGUUCCCGGGCCUUGCACUCACCGCCCGUCA